UACGAGGGGGGCGAGCGUUGUUCGGAAUUAUUGGGCGUAAAGGGUGCGUAGGCGGUUUGGUAAGUCUUAUGUGAAAUCUACAGGCUCAACUUGUAGUCUGCAUGAGAAACUGCCGGGCUUGAGUAUGGGAGAGGUGAGUGGAAUUCCUGGUGUAGCGGUGAAAUGCGUAGAUAUCAGGAGGAACACCGGUGGCGAAGGCGGGUCUCUGGGCCGAUAUUGACGCUGAGGAGCGAAAGCGUGGGGAGCGAACAGG
rnacentral:rRNA from 1 species